UGGUGGCUUGCCCGGAAGGAUUGGAAUCCGAUGGUCAUGUUGCCGUGUAUAGGAGGAAGACCACGCGGCUCAACAAAAAUAUCGACAAAUUCAGCAAGCAAUUAGGCGAGAUUUUGAUCUUCAAUUUCUAUUUUCUUCCCCUCUAGUUGCUGCUGGAGAUGCAUCAAAAAGCCACCAUUUACCUUGUGCAAAACUUUCUCCAUUCGUUGGGUUGAAACAGUGGUUACGUUGCUUC
rnacentral:lncRNA from 1 species